rnacentral:rRNA from 1 species
UAGGGAAUCUUCCACAAUGGACGAAAGUCUGAUGGAGCAACGCCGCGUGAGUGAAGAAGGUUUUCGGAUCGUAAAGCUCUGUUGUUGGUGAAGAAGGAUAGAGGCAGUAACUGGUCUUUAUUUGACGGUAAUCAACCAGAAAGUCACGGCUAACUACGUGCCAGCAGCCGCGGUAAUACGUAGGUGGCAAGCGUUGUCCGGAUUUAUUGGGCGUAAAGCGAGCGCAGGCGGAAUGAUAAGUCUGAUGUGAAAGCCCACGGCUCAACCGUGGAACUGCAUCGGAAACUGUCAUUCUUGAGUGCAGAAGAGGAGAGUGGAACUCCAUGUGUAGCGGUGGAAUGCGUAGAUAUAUGGAAGAACACCAGUGGCGAAGGCGGCUCUCUGGUCUGCAACUGACGCUGAGGCUCGAAAGCAUGGGUAGCGAACAGGAUUAGAUACCCUGGUAGUCCAUGCCGUAAACGAUGAGCGCUAGGUGUUGGGGACUUUCCGGUCCUCAGUGCCGCAGCAAACGCAUU